GAGAAAGAUCCGUGAAGCUCAGGAGGGAUAGCGCCAUGGUUUGUUGUUGAAAGAGUUGUUCUUUCUUCUAUUAUUGCGCUAUCUAUCCUGAGUUUCAUGGUUCCUUCUU
rnacentral:pre_miRNA from 1 species